UUCGAUCCGUGCUACGAGGACACGCUGGCGGCGUGCCUAAUACAUGCAAGUCGAGCGGAUUGAUGGGAGCUUGCUCCCUGAUAUCAGCGGCGGACGGGUGAGUAACACGUGGGCAACCUGCCUAUAAGACUGGGAUAACUUCGGGAAACCGGAGCUAAUACCGGAUAAUUCCCUUCCUCUCAUGAGGAAGGGUUGAAAGAUGGUUUACGCUAUCACUUAUAGAUGGGCCCGCGGCGCAUUAGCUAGUUGGUGAGGUAACGGCUCACCAAGGCAACGAUGCGUAGCCGACCUGAGAGGGUGAUCGGCCACACUGGGACUGAGACACGGCCCAGACUCCUACGGGAGGCGGCAGUAGGGAAUCUUCCGCAAUGGACGAAAGUCUGACGGAGCAACGCCGCGUGAGUGAUGAAGGUUUUCGGAUCGUAAAACUCUGUUGUUAGGGAAGAACAAGUACGAGAGUAACUGCUCGUACCUUGACGGUACCUAACCAGAAAGCCACGGCUAACUACGUG
rnacentral:rRNA from 1 species